GGCUGAGCUGGCAGCGAGCGCAGCUCGUUCCGAGCAGGACCUGCGAGCGUUCUCCGAGCCGUGGUGCUGCAUAAAGAGAAUGAUUGAUACAAUCAAAAGAAAAGAGCUGAAACCUCCUAGCUUUACAUGCUUUGAACUUCUUGGAUAAAUGAUAUGGCACAAGGGCUGAGGAAGAAGACUCCAUCACCUGGCUGAGGAAUAAAAACCUCAUUUUCUCUGAA